UCCACGCCCUAAACUAUGGACACUAGGUGUUGAGGGAUUCGACCCCCUCAGUGCCGACGCUAACGCAUUAAGUGUCCCGCCUGGGUAGUACGGUCGCAAGACUAAAACUCAAAGGAAUAGACGGGGACCCGCACAAGCGGUGGAGCAUCUGGUUUAAUUCGACAACAAGCGAGGAACCUUACCAAGGCUUGACAUCCCGCGAAGAUCGCCGAAAGGUGGUUGUGCCGUAAGGAACGCGGUGACAGGUGCUGCAUGGUUGUCGUCAGCUCGUGCCUUGAGGUGUUCGGUUAAGUCCGUGAACGAGCGCAACCCUUGUCCUAAG
rnacentral:rRNA from 1 species